rnacentral:rRNA from 1 species
AGUGAACGCUGGCGGUGGGCCUAACACAUGCAAGUCGAACGGCAGCACAGUAAGAGCUUGCUCUUACGGGUGGCGAGUGGCGGACGGGUGAGGAAUACAUCGGAAUCUACUUUUUCGUGGGGGAUAACGUAGGGAAACUUACGCUAAUACCGCAUACGACCUACGGGUGAAAGCAGGGGAUCUUCGGACCUUGCGCGAUUGAAUGAGCCGAUGUCGGAUUAGCUAGUUGGCGGGGUAAGGGCCCACCAAGGCGACGAUCCGUAGCUGGUCUGAGAGGAUGAUCAGCCACACUGGAACUGAGACACGGUCCAGACUCCUACGGGAGGCAGCAGUGGGGAAUAUUGGACAAUGGGCGCAAGCCUUAUCCAGCCAUACCGCGUGGGUGAAGAAGGCCUUCGGGUUGUAAAGCCCUUUUUUUGGGAAAGAAAAGCAGCAGGUUAAUACCCCGCUGUUCUGACGGUACCCAAAGAAUAAGCACCGGCUAACUUCGUG